UACGGAGGGUGCAAGCGUUCUCCGGAUUCACUGGGUUUAAAGGGAGCGCAGGCGGAUUUGUAAGUCAGUGGUGAAAGGCUUAAGCUUAACUUGGGAACUGCCAUUGAUACUAUAAGUCUUGAAUGUUGUUGAGGUUUGCGGAAUGGGUAAUGUAGCGGUGAAAUGCAUAGAUAUGACCCGGAACACCUAUUGCGAAGGCAGCAGGCUAAACAAAUAUUGACGCUGAGGCUCGAAAGCGUGGGGAUCAAACAGG
rnacentral:rRNA from 1 species